UGGCUCUCGCAUCGAUGAAGAACGCAGCGAAAUGCGAUAAGUAAUGUGAAUUGCAGAAUUCAGUGAAUCAUCGAAUCUUUGAACGCAAAUUGCGCCCUUUGGUAUUCCGAAGGGCAUGCCUGUUUGAGUGUCAUAUAGACUUCACCCAAUCAUUUUUCAUUAAAUGACUUGUCGGUGCUUUGGACGUCUGCCAUUAACCUUGGCUCGUCUUAAAUGUUUAAGUGAACAUUAGCGUGAUAAGUCUUCGCUAUCAUUGUUCACUCUAAUACCUUUUAAGCUCUGACCUCAAAUCAGGUAGGACUACCCGCUGA
rnacentral:misc_RNA from 1 species